AAUCCAUAGGUUAAUGAGGCGAACCGGGGGAACUGAAACAUCUAAGUACCCCGAGGAAAAGAAAUCAACCGAGAUUCCCCCAGUAGCGGCGAGCGAACGGGGAGGAGCCCAGAGCCUGAAUCAGCAUGUGUGUUAGUGGAAGCGUCUGGAAAGGCGCGCGAUACAGGGUGACAGCCCCGUACACAAAAGCGCAUGUGCUGUGAGCUCGAUGAGUAGGGCGGGACACGUGGUAUCCUGUCUGAAUAUGGGGGGACCAUCCUCCAAGGCUAAAUACUCCUGACUGACCGAUAGUGAACCAGUACCGUGAGGGAAAGGCGAAAAGAACCCCGGCGAGGGGAGUGAAAAAGAACCUGAAACCGUGUACGUACAAGCAGUGGGAGCACCCUUCGGGGUGUGAC
rnacentral:rRNA from 1 species